UACAGAGGGUGCAAGCGUUAAUCGGAAUUACUGGGCGUAAAGCGUGCGUAGGUGGUCUUUUAAGUUGGAUGUGAAAUCCCCGGGCUUAACCUGGGAACUGCAUUCAAGACUGGGAGACUUGAGUCUGGGAGAGGGUGGUGGAAUUUCAGGUGUAGCGGUGAAAUGCGUAGAUAUCUGAAGGAACAUCAGUGGCGAAGGCGACCGCCUGGCCUAAGACUGACACUGAGGCACGAAAGCGUGGGGAGCAAACAGG
rnacentral:rRNA from 1 species